rnacentral:rRNA from 1 species
UACGUAGGGUCCGAGCGUUGUCCGGAAUUAUUGGGCGUAAAGGGCUCGUAGGCGGUCUGUCGCGCGGGAGUGAAAACUUACAGCUUAACUGUGAGCGUGCUUCCGAUACGGGCAGACUUGAGGUAUUCAGGGGAGAACGGAAUUCCUGGUGUAGCGGUGAAAUGGCGCAGAUAUCAGGAGGAACACCGGUGGCGAAGGCGGUUCUCUGGGAAUAUCCUGACGCUGAGGAGCGAAAGUGUGGGGAGCGAACGGG